rnacentral:rRNA from 1 species
UACGUAGGGUGCGAGCGUUGUCCGGAAUUACUGGGCGUAAAGAGCUCGUAGGUGGUUUGUCGCGUUGUCCGUGAAAACUCACAACUCAAUUGUGGGCGUGCGGGCGAUACGGGCAGACUGGAGUACUGCAGGGGAGACUGGAAUUCCUGGUGUAGCGGUGGAAUGCGCAGAUAUCAGGAGGAACACCGGGUGGCGAAGGCGGAUCUCUGGGCCAUUACUGACGCUGAGGAGCGAAAGCAUGGGGAGCGAACAGG